GGCGGGACACGUGGUAUCCUGUCUGAAUAUGGGGGGACCAUCCUCCAAGGCUAAAUACUCCUGACUGACCGAUAGUGAACCAGUACCGUGAGGGAAAGGCGAAAAGAACCCCGGCGAGGGGAGUGAAAAAGAACCUGAAACCGUGUACGUACAAGCAGUGGGAGCACCCUUUUGGGUGUGACUGCGUACCUUUUGUAUAAUGGGUCAGCGACUUAUAUUCUGUAGCAAGGUUAACCGAAUAGGGGAGCCGGAGGGAAACCGAGUCUUAAUUGGGCGUUAAGUUGCAGGGUAUAGACCCGAAACCCGGUGAUCUAGCCAUGGGCAGGUUGAAGGUUGGGUAACACUAACUGGAGGACCGAACCGACUAAUGUUGAAAAAUUAGCGGAUGACCUGUGGCUGGGGGUGAAAGGCCAAUCAAACCGGGAGAUAGCUGGUUCUCCCCGAAAGCUAUUUAGGUAGCGCCUCGUGAAUUCAUCUCCGGGGGUAGAGCACUGUUUCGGCUAGGGGGCCAUCCCGGCUUACCAACCCGAUGCAAACUGCGAAUACCGGAGAAUGUUAUCACGGGAGACACACGGCGGGUGCUAACGUCCGUCGUGAAGAGGGAAACAACCCAGACCGCCAGCUAAGGUCCCAAAGUCAUGGUUAAGUGGGAAACGAUGUGGGAAGGCCCAGACAGCCAGGAUGUUGGCUUAGAAGCAGCCAUCAUUUAAAGAAAGCGUAAUAGCUCACUGGUCGAGUCGGCCUGCGCGGAAGAUGUAACGGGGCUAAACCAU
rnacentral:rRNA from 1 species